CGUAGAACUACCGGGAUUGCCUUAGUAACGGCGAGUGAAGCGGCAAAAGCUCAAAUUUGAAAUCUGGUACCUUCGGUGCCCGAGUUGUAAUUUGUAGAGGGCGACUUUGGGGCGGCUCCUUGUCUAUGUUCCUUGGAACAGGACGUCAUAGAGGGUGAGAAUCCCGUGUGGCGAGGAGUGCGGUUCCGUGUAAAGCGCUCUCGAAGAGUCGAGUUGUUUGGGAAUGCAGCUCUAAGUGGGUGGUAAAUUCCAUCUAAAGCUAAAUAUUGGCGAGAGACCGAUAGCGAACAAGUACAGUGAUGGAAAGAUGAAAAGAACUUUGAAAAGAGAGUGAAAAAGUACGUGAAAUUGUUGAAAGGGAAGGGCAUUUGAUCAGACAUGGUGUUUUGCGCCCCUCGCUCCUUGUGGGUGGGGGACCCUCGCAGCUCACUGGGCCAGCAUCAGUUUUGGCGGUCGGAUAAAACCAGGGGAACGUAGCUUGCUUCGGGAAGUGUUAUAGCCCUUGGGAAUACGGCCAGCCGGGACUGAGGAACGCGAUUCGUCAAGGAUGCUGCA
rnacentral:rRNA from 1 species